AGUUUGCUUAUAUAUCAUGUUUUAAGUAUCUAUCAGAUAUAUAUUGUAUCGCAUUAAAGAAUGAUGUAUUUUACGAAGAAAUUGUGAAAUCUAAGCAAAUCCACUAUAUAAAAUAUGUGUUUAAUGAAAUUAUUAUUAAAAUUAUUAUUACAUAGAAUUUAUCAAAUAAGAUAUUUAUCAGUUAGUUUAGAUUUUUAAACAAUAUUGAAAAUCUGUAUUUCGAUAAUAUAUUAUGCAUCACAAUUCAUUACAAUAUUAUUUUCUAGAAAAAAAUAUUAUUACGAGAUAUUAUUAUUUAGGAGAACCGUCGAUUUUCCUUUCUGGGUUUCCAGCCCUCUCUGACUCGCCCGCUCAGCUGAUGCCGUAGCGUCACCGUAUACGCAGCUCUUAAGAAGGGCCAAGUCUUUUACCUUUCACUUUAGUACAAGGAAGCAGCAGAUGAUCAUCUCCAUUAAUCUAGAUGUUCAACCAUGACUUUUACUUGAUGCCUUCCACUUUGUAUGAAAUGAUUCAAUAUAUUCAAUAUUGACACCUGUAAUUGAACAUUAAAUUUAAUAAUCAAAAUAUACAAGAUAUUUUCAAAAGAAAAUGAUAUUGUAAAAGAUUUAAAAUUAUUUUUUAAUUAAUUUUUGAAAUAUAAAAAAAAAAUUAAUUGAAAAAAAACUUAAUUUUAAAAAAUUUUUUUAUGAUCUAAUAGUGUCUUUAUUUAAAUAGAUUGUAAAUAAAAUUUCAAAACAUUGUUACAGUAUAUUACACAAAAAACAGUUAUAUUCAUUCAAAAUUAAAAAAAUAGCACAGAUGAUUUUUUAUUAUGCAAAUUAAAUAAUAUAAUUUCUUUUAUACAUAAACAUUGAUUAAAUUAAAAUAAAUAAUAUAAAAUAUUUUUAAAAA